AUGAAGCCGACCUGUGCCUCGGUCAUUGGUCAAUACUUUAGUAUUCCUGACUUCACAAACAGAAUGAGGAGUCCAUCAGCACCUCUCCAGCUCUCAACAGGAUCAGGCGUUCAACCUUGGAUCAAAGACACGAUCUACAGGCUGGAAUGGAUGCUUUGGUGCAGCAGGCAGAUAAACCAGAUGCGUCAAGACAGGACAGAGACCUUUGAGAGGUAAAGAAGACUUCUGUCUGUUUUGUUUUUGAACGUCUACAUCAACUAGGUUAAAUACAGCGAUACAUUGCUCUCAGUGGAUGUACGGGAGAGGAAAAAGAACCUCAGCAUCCAGGUUUUAACAUUUUAUUUUAGUUAGAAUACUUGAAUUCAGGUUAUUUUCUUUUUUGUCUUUUUUUGUGUUGUUUCAGAAAGGAGAGGUUUUAAAAGUUCUCUAUAAAAAUAAGGAUGGAUGGUGGCUGGCUAAAAACUCAAAAGGCCAGAAGGGCCUGGUACCCAAAACUUUCCUGAAGGUGCGUGUAAUUUCACAGACACUCAGUGAGUGCGUUUACAUGCACAAUGUAAAUAUUUGAUAACAUGAAAGUCAUAUACACACAUUAAACUGUGUUUAGAUCAUUAACAUGGAUGAACUACAUCUACAAAUGUAUUUUAACCGUGCGUUUUCAGAUGGCUUCUCUGCAUGAUAGUGUGAGAGAGAGAGAAUGAGGAUGUGGGGGAGAAUGAAGAAGAAGAGAAGGAGUCUGACAUAAAGUCCAUGUGAUAUUUCCUCUAUCUCCACUAGAUAGCAGCAUUGUUUUCAUAUUUUGUUGUUUUUUGCAUGUCUGUGCUUUUAUCUUAAUUAAAGAGCAGUGAAUAUAGCUCACAAUUUCAGUCAUCUCUAAAACUGACCAGACCAACUUUUAACCAAAAGUCUCAGUUAAUAUGCAGCCUUUAUUAAAGAAAAUGAUUUAAUACUGUCGCUUUUUCAACUAGCAAAACAUCCAAUUGGAACACAGUGUGGAAGGCUGUUACUGAGGUAAUAAUAAUAAUAAUAAUAAUAAUAACAACAUAAAAAAAAAAAAAAUCGUAAUUAAUCCAAAAUUUUGACCAACAAUAUAGAAAGAAAGAUUGUGUAUGUGUGUAUUUGUCAAGGUUCACGGACACCCAUCUAGAGUGAGUUUAACACUGACCCUGUGAAGUUGUCGAAUGAUCCCAUCCCCCAGGGUCAGGGUUACAGGUUCUCAGCAGGCACGUUCGGCUCUGUGCAUUUAACGGAUCCCAGGUAACACACACUGCUGCACCUACAACCGGAAUGACAGCCUCUUUAUGAUCUUAAAAGAGAGAGAUUCGCGUACAGUAAUCAGGGUGGAACCAACCUAAAACAAAUAACAAAGCAUCAUGAGAUUAAAAACUGGGGGUGCUUGAAUUAAUACAGUUACAAUCCAAAAGCAUGAGUGUAAAAUAAAACGCAUAUUUGAGUCUUGAGUGUUAAGAGUUUAAUCAUUACUUGGUAUCUGUACGUUAUCUGUCUUUCACAACUCUGGAUUUUUUUGUUUUCUGCACUGUGGAUGUGAAUUUUGUUUGAUUACUUAUUUUCAGUCAUUUUAAAUAUUUAGGAGAGAACCAAGAAAUGUUUCAGUGCAUGUUUAUAGAUGACAAGUGGAGUAUUAUUGUGUAAUGUCCAGCGUUCAUUGUGUACAGUUAUUCUUUUCUUUGAUGUUUCUGAAUGAGUCAGUUAAGUCUUUGUAAAUGGUAGAAUAAUUCAAACGCACAUUCAAAAUUCCAUUUGUCUCCCAAUGUUUAUUGUAAGCUGGUGUCGUGUGACACAAAUGCAGUGUACAUGGUGGCAUUGUUUCCCUCUCACUCAUUGUUCCACCUGUUAAGUUUACUUUAAUAUUUUCCUUGUCAGGGUUUGAGUAACAUUCACACAGUCAGAGCCACAUACAACUCAAAGAUCCCAAAGACCUGGAGCUUUUCUCCACGAGUAAGACUAAGCUACACUUAAACACUUGCAAACGCAUGAACAAAAGUUGAAGGCCACAUAAAAAAUCUGGGAUUUGAAAUCUAAUUUAAACCUAGUAAUAAAGAAAUUUUAAAGAUGUAGAAAUUUUGAAACAAAUAAAUUUUGUCAUUUAAAAUGAAUAAAAAAUAUUUAAGAUUCCGAACUAUAGACAUGUCACAACUUGUUAUGCUGAUAAGUUAUAUAUAUAAUGUUCUCAGAGGUUUAGACCCCACUGUACAUACUUUUAUGUGAUUUAACAUUUCAUAUUUUGAAUCUGUAUUUUUUCCUGUGUGUGUAUUUCAGAUGACUGGGAUGCUGCCUUGUCUACUAGAUGGAGACUGUUUCCUGCAUUGUGAUUCUGAAUCUCCUGAUCUUGGAAUUCUGUUUGAAUUGGGUGUGACCUACAUAAGACAUGUGAGUAACUAUUGCCUUGCAAAUAAAUGCCUCUCAUUUUGAUAAAUGUAAUGCUUCCUUGCUGAAUGUAAAUAUUCAUUUCUCUAAAAAGAUCCCAAACUUUUGAACAGAGUUUUAUUGUCAGCUGUAGAGUUCCAUAGUGUUUUUUGAUAAAUAGUCAUUAAAAAGCAAAUAUGGUCUUGUUACUUAAUUUUUUUUUCUUUUUAAAUGUUUCAUUUCAUUUCAAGUCUGCUGCCAGACACACACUUUUACUUGCUGUGUUCUCAUUAAUAAACACUAUUUAUGUUUCUAUAUAAAAAAAUAAGUAUGGUUACUACCCUGUACAUGAACUCUACUUUUAACAGAAAAGAUUACAUUAUUAUUACAUUUGUAUUAUUGUUAUUUUUAUUAAUAGUAAUAAUAAAUAUAUUUUUUUAAUAAUAUGAAUUAUUAAUUAUUUAUUUUAACUAU
rnacentral:lncRNA from 12 species